rnacentral:lncRNA from 1 species
CUCCCAAGCUCACUUGGCCAGAGACAGUCAACAGCGAACAUGAUGAGCUGCUUCUCCACUUCAAGAGGCUGCAGCCUCCGGACCCCAGGUAGAGAAAGUAUCUGUGAAAGAUUAAGAAGAUGGCUGACUCCAUCCAGAUGCAGCACGACUGUCACAGACACCACAGGGAUGGUCUCCCUGGGAGUAACCACCAGUGACCUACGAAAAUCGAGCCAAUGGAAGAGCCUGAUCAGUGGAGCCACAUGGCCAUCUCUGCCUGUUCCCCUUAGAAACACAGCCAGACCUGCUCACGUGAUGCUGGUGCACGUGAUUUGUCCAAUUGAACAGAACAGUCCUGGAAGCUGCCACAAACGCAAGAUGUGCCCUGCAGGCUCGCCUGCCGUAAGAAUGACAGUACUUCUGGUAGGAGGAAAAAGAAAAUGUCACCUGAUCGCAGCCCCUUCGCACCCUGUAUUUCCUCCUCCCUCCUCCUCACCCUAAAUAAAAACAAAAAACAUAUGGGUGUAACAAAAACUAAAUGUUUCUGCCUUCGAUUAUAACUAAAAACAUUCCAAUAAACCUAUUUUUGACUGUAAAAAAUAACAACUAGAAUUUAUUUAUAUGUAUUGAUGUUGUAGAAAAAAAAA